rnacentral:rRNA from 1 species
GGUUAUACGAGAGGCUCAAGUUGACAGACAACGGCGUAAAGAGUGGUUAAGGAAAACAUUUAACUAAAGCGGAACCCCCUCAUUGCUGUUAUACGCUUCCGAGGGAAUGAACCCCAACUACGAAGGUGGCUUUAUAUUAACCUGAACCCACGAAAGCUAAGAAACAAACUGGGAUUAGAUACCC